GUUUGUGUAAUGGAUCAGCUGGUUUAAAUGUAUGGAUUUCCCCUUAUCCGAUCACAACUGCAGGGAGACUGACACAUCUAUGCUUUGAAUAAUAUCAGACCUUGCUGCUUGCAGUGGGGAACAGCUGCCUUGGGGCUGCACGGAGGAGGAAGAUGCCUCAGAAGCUUUGUCCUCCCCGAAACGUUCCCCACUGGGCCACGGGCUGCAGAAAGCUGGGCCACAAAUUGGGCUCCACGCCACGGUGAGGUGUCAGGAAUCCUCCAAAGGUGGCCCCUUGUUCUGUCACCGCCGCGCUUGUUCCUCGGGAGAACCACAGUAACUCUGACCCUGCUGCCCUCACCACAGAGCCUCUCUUCCCAUCUCCCUGCUCUAUCCUUUCAUCACUGUGAUGCCUAAAAAUCACCAGCUGGAGUGGUUCUGAGAGCCAGAGAGGGCUUUCUGGGGAAUAACUGGAGUGCUAUUCCAGCAUCAUGAGGCAUCCCGGCCUCUCCUGCAGCCACAACGGGAGCAUUUUCUGCAGUGAGAGCAAAAUAAACAUCAAGACUCUUUAAAAGAGAGUCUGGAGGGUUGAGUGCAAUUAUCGGGCCAAACUCCUUUGCCUUGAGUGUUAUCUAUCACUCUGUAGUUUCCUUCCUCAUAGAAAGGUGGAUAUUAAAUUCUACUUUUCUUAUGGCCAUAAAAAAAAAAGUAAUUUUCUCCAAAUUAUUUCUUCCAGACCUGCUAAAAACAAGAAUCAUAAUGCAGCAGGACCCCCAUCUUCCCAGUAAUUACACUCUGCCUCCUAACUCCUUCAACACCAAUUUCUCAAUUUAUUUGGCUUCCAUCUGGAACCACAGUCACAGGCAGAGCUGGGCUCUGUCUUAUUAUUACACGGACAAAAUUGUUUUUAAAAUGUAAUUAAACAUUUACCUUGAAGACAAUGCUUUGUCUUCUUUAAGAAGCAUAAUAUCUUAAUUUAACCUAAUCUAGAAAACCUUCCAUUUCUGAGCUUUUACCUCCAAGACAAUGUUAUGCUAAACACAAAGCAAAACAAAAAG